rnacentral:rRNA from 1 species
GACGAACGCUGGCGGCGUGCCUAAUACAUGCAAGUCGAGCGAAGUUUUUCUGGUGCUUGCACUAGAAAAACUUAGCGGCGAACGGGUGAGUAACACGUAAAGAACCUGCCUCAUAGACUGGGACAACUAUUGGAAACGAUAGCUAAUACCGGAUAACAGUAUUUCUCGCAUGAGAGAUAUUUAAAAGUUGGUUAUGCUAACACUAUGAGAUGGCUUUGCGGUGCAUUAGCUAGUUGGUGGGGUAAAGGCCUACCAAGGCGACGAUGCAUAGCCGACCUGAGAGGGUGAUCGGCCACACUGGGACUGAGACACGGCCCAGACUCCUACGGGAGGCAGCAGUAGGGAAUCUUCCGCAAUGGGCGAAAGCCUGACGGAGCAACGCCGCGUGAGUGAAGAAGGAUUUCGGUUCGUAAAGCUCUGUUGUUAGGGAAGAAUGGAUAUGUAGUAACUAUACAUGUAAGAGACG